UCCAAGACAGCUUCACAUCAAAAAGGCAGAAGACCAAGUUUCGCAAACUGAGAGCCGAGUCGACUCCGAGGAAGUUCGAGUCGACUCCAAGACUGGACGAGCCAAAAGACAGAGGAUCGGGAGUUCGGGCUCUGAGAUUCGAGUCGACUCCCAGGACAGUCGAGUCGACUCGAGUGGAUCAAAUUCAAAAUUGGAUCCACGGACUUCAGUG
rnacentral:lncRNA from 1 species